rnacentral:rRNA from 1 species
UAAUACGGGGGGGGCAAGCGUUGUUCGGAAUUACUGGGCGUAAAGGGCUCGUAGGUGGCCUUCUAAGUCCGACGUGAAAUCCCUCGGCUUAACCGGGGAACUGCGUCGGAUACUGGAAGGCUUGAAUCCGGGAGAGGGACGUGGAAUUCCAGGUGUAGCGGUGAAAUGCGUAGAUAUCUGGAGGAACACCGGUGGCGAAGGCGGCGUCCUGGACCGGGAUUGACACUGAGGAGCGAAAGCCAGGGGAGCAAACGGG